UACGUAGGUGGCGAGCGUUGUCCGGAAUAACUGGGCGUAAAGGGAGCGUAGGUGGUUGAUUAAGUUAAAUGUGAAAGCCCAGGGCUCAACUCUGGAACUGCAUUUAAUACUGGUCGGCUAGAGUACAGGAGGGGUAAACGGAAUUUCUAGUGUAGCGGUGAAAUGCAUAGAUAUCACGCAGAACUCCGAUUGCGAAGGCAGCAUACCGGCGCCCGACUGACGCUGAAGCACGAAAGCGUGGGUAUCGAACAGG
rnacentral:rRNA from 1 species